UUUAUCGCAUCGGUUGCGUGGGCCCUGCAGCUACGUAUUUUUUUUUCAAUAAAAACGCUGAAUGAAGCUCCGUCUGGGUACCGCACAGAGAUUUUUUUCUGAGCCGUUGUUGUGGCACUUCUUCGGGGUCAUUCGCUCGUUGUUGCUGCCGUUACCGCCGCCUUCGCGCUGCCGCCGCCGCCUUCUUCUGUCACACAGCUUUAUCGCCCUCAAUCUUUCAUAAAGCUGUCUGCGUGGUGAGAGCAAUCCACCACUUUAUGAUGAACGCGGGAUGUUCCCGCCGAGGAAGUCCCAUCGAUUCCCGUUUGGCCUUGUGUCUACCUUCUGGAGGAGAGAGCGAGCGACGAUCACCACGGGACCCGCCACAGUGAGAACCCGCGUACGGAAACGAAUUAAAAGAGGGAACGAACCCGAAGUAGAUCGAACAAGGAAUUUCGAAGAAAACAGGAUGAUGAUGGCAAAAGACAACUAGCGCGGGCCAGCAAGGCUGACGAUGGAUGUGGCGCGGCUACUCACGAUCGACGGUGACCUGUGCGCACUGGUGUGAAGCACAGUGUGCCUCAGGGUUUCCAGAGAGCGAACAGGGUGACGCCGCUUCGCCGAGGCGAUGGAGUGUAGCGAAUAUGUGCAGUCGUUCGCACAAUUAGGUGCUGCCUGUCGCUGAAAAGGUGAAGGAGACUGGUCGGAAAGUGACGACGGCUCGUGAGAAGCUCGGAUUGAACCGGUCUUGCUCGUCUGGCCUGGAAUGCGCGAUCCGUCAAUGCUCUUUAUUUGAUGCUAAACUGAGCAAAGUGUGAUAGCUUUGCAGUAGAUUCAUUUUAUUAUAUCUAGAUGAAUUUAUUACAAUACGACUGGUCUGUCAUUGAUUUAGUGAUAACGUCAACCGUUGUGUAAACUAAUUACUUUAAGAACAUGCUAUUAUUGUGAUAAGGGCGACUGAUAAGGCCCUUGUGAACAAAUCUGAUAUUGAAAUGUAUGUAACUCGGAUGAGUAAUCUAAACAAAAUUCUUUUUGAAUUGAUGUUUCUGAUUUGAAAAUUGAAAAUCCAAACGAGAUCAUCUCCCUUCUGAGUCAUUGACGCUUCGAUUUCUAUCGCAGUAGAACUAAUCGAGCGUUCGAAUGCCACGAAUCGAAUAAUUUAUAUUUAAACGCAUACUCACACAUGAUUAGCCGCUCAGAACGAGUGUGAACUGGUGAGUGAUACGUGCGGUAUGUGUGACUCACGCAGCUCAACAUGCGCGCAAAUGGCAUUACAUAUUAGUUUUAUUGUUCCCACCCGCCAUCGACUGUAUUUAUGAUGCAUACCGAUUCAGUGAAUUUAAUGAAGGUUAUUCGCCUUUUCUUCGCCGCCGUCAAGUUUCCAGACCAAAGUGCAAAAAUGUGAUUCAUUCUGACGCACGUGCCCAUUGCGGUGCGUCACAGGCCAGUUGUGUGUUCACUCUAAUUUGGCGUUCGCGCGGUGGAUCCCUUCAUCGCCGCCCCUUUUCCGACCGAAGGAGGUAAAUGUCGGAAUUCGAAGAGAACACCUGAACACUGUUAACAGGCGUCAGGCGAUCGUCUCCGGUUUACGCACACCGAUCAAAUGACGGAACAGGUUAUAUUGAAUGUGGCUAGUUAUACGUAUUAAUAUCUUGUCGAAAUAAAAAAAAACACCGCUCAAGUGUAUCUACACAUCGGUUUUGAAGGCCAUCCGGUUUUUUGUUCGAAUUUAUCGGGUGGGUUUGUUUUAAUGUAGGUAUAGUUUGUGGUGGCUGUUAAAACGUC